rnacentral:rRNA from 1 species
UACCAGCUCCUCGAGUGGUUGGGACGAUUAUUGGGUCUAAAGCGUCCGUAGCCGGCUGGAAAAGUUCUCCGUAAAAUCCAACGAUCCAAUCGUUGGAUCGCGGGGAAUACUCUCCGGCUUGGGGGCGGGGGAGGUCGGCGGUAGUCCCGGGGUAGGGGCGAAAAACAAAAUUCUAUUCUAGAAUAGUCAUGAGUGGAAUUUUUUCGCAGUCUUAUAAUCCCGGGAGGACCACCAGUGGCGAAGGC